CGUAACAAGGUCUCCGUAGGUGAACCUGCGGAGGGAUCAUUACACAAAUAUGAAGGCGGGCUGGAACCUCUCGGGGUUACAGCCUUGCUGAAUUAUUCACCCUUGUCUUUUGCGUACUUCUUGUUUCCUUGGUGGGUUCGCCCACCACUAGGACAAACAUAAACCUUUUGUAAUUGCAAUCAGCGUCAGUAACAAAUUAAUAAUUACAACUUUCAACAACGGAUCUCUUGGUUCUGGCAUCGAUGAAGAACGCAGCGAAAUGCGAUAAGUAGUGUGAAUUGCAGAAUUCAGUGAAUCAUCGAAUCUUUGAACGCACAUUGCGCCCUUUGGUAUUCCAAAGGGCAUGCCUGUUCGAGCGUCAUUUGUACCCUCAAGCUUUGCUUGGUGUUGGGCGUCUUGUCUCUAGCUUUGCUGGAGACUCGCCUUAAAGUAAUUGGCAGCCGGCCUACUGGUUUCGGAGCGCAGCACAAGUCGCACUCUCUAUCAGCAAAGGUCUAGCAUCCAUUAAGCCUUUUUUCAACUUUUGACCUCGGAUCAGGUAGGGAUACCCGCUGAACUUAAGCAUAUCA
rnacentral:rRNA from 1 species